UAGGGAAUCUUCCGCAAUGGACGAAAGUCUGACGGAGCAACGCCGCGUGAGUGAAGAAGGAUUUCGGUUCGUAAAACUCUGUUGUUAGGGAAGAAAAAAUGUAUAGUAACUAUAUACAAAAGAGACGGUACCUAACCAGAAAGCCACGGCUAACUACGUGCCAGCAGCCGCGGUAAUACGUAGGUGGCAAGCGUUGUCCGGAAUUAUUGGGCGUAAAGCGCGCGCAGGUGGUUUAGAAAGUCUGAUGUGAAAGCCCACGGCUCAACCGUGGAGCGUCAUUGGAAACUAAUAAACUUGAGUGCAGGAGAGAAAAGUGGAAUUCCUAGUGUAGCGAUGAAAUGCGUAGAGAUUAGGAGGAACACCGGUGGCGAAAGCGGCUUUUUGGCCUGCAACUGACACUGAGGCGCGAAAGCGUGGGGAGCAAACAGG
rnacentral:rRNA from 1 species